rnacentral:rRNA from 1 species
GACGAACGCUGGCGGCGUGCUUAACACAUGCAAGUCGAACGGAAAGGCCCUGCUUUUGUGGGGUGCUCGAGUGGCGAACGGGUGAGUAACACGUGAGUAACCUGCCCUUGACUUUGGGAUAACUUCAGGAAACUGGGGCUAAUACCGGAUAGGAGCUCCUGCUGCAUGGUGGGGGUUGGAAAGUUUCGGCGGUUGGGGAUGGACUCGCGGCUUAUCAGCUUGUUGGUGGGGUGGUGGCUUACCAAGGCUUUGACGGGUAGCCGGCCUGAGAGGGUGACCGGCCACAUUGGGACUGAGAUACGGCCCAGACUCCUACGGGAGGCAGCAGUGGGGAAUAUUGCACAAUGGGCGGAAGCCUGAUGCAGCAACGCCGCGUGCGGGAUGACGGUCUUCGGGUUGUAAACCGCUUUCGCCUGUGACGAAGCGUGAGUGACGGUAAUGGGUAAAGAAGCACCGGCUAACUACGUG